UGCAGCAGACCGACCUGUGCCUUCUGCUAACAGAUGUUCUCCCCUCUUUCAGGCUGUAGAGCUGACAGCAUUCAAAUCCUCAGGGAUGCAGUGCAUUAGCAGGUUCUGAUUUUGCUCCAUAUUAAGUGUCUAAGCAGGGAAAGCUUAGACUGUUUUCGAGAAGAUGCCACCCAGAAGCCUUACAGCUUUCCUCCCCACAGUGGACACAUGAACGAGGCAGACAGCGGUGUUUGGGAGUAAACGUGCUGCAGUCCCAGGCUCAGCACUGUGCACACUGAGCACGUGCACUGGUGCAUCUCGGCCUCACCUGCUCCUGCCUAUUUUAAUGAGCCACAUGUGUAAUUAAACUCCAG
rnacentral:lncRNA from 1 species